ACGGAAGGCAGCAGUGGGGAAUAUUGGACAAUGGGGGAAACCCUGAUCCAGCGACGCCGCGUGAGUGAAGAAGUAUUUCGGUAUGUAAAGCUCUAUCAGCAAGGAAGAAAAUGACGGUACUUGACUAAGAAGCUCCGGCUAAAUACGUGCCAGCAGCCGCGGUAAUACGUAUGGAGCAAGCGUUAUCCGGAUUUACUGGGUGUAAAGGGAGCGUAGACGGCAAAGCAAGUCCGAAGUGAAAUCCCGGGGCUCAACCCCGGAACUGCUUUGGAAACUGUUUAGCUAGAGUGCAUGAGAGGUAAGCGGAAUUCCUAGUGUAGCGGUGAAAUGCGUAGAUAUUAGGAGGAACACCAGUGGCGAAGGCGGCUUACUGGACUGUAACUGACGUUGAGGCUCGAAAGCGUGGGGAGCAAACAGGAUUAGAUACCCUGGUA
rnacentral:rRNA from 1 species